CCUGGCUUGCUGGGGGGAUUAGUGGCGAACGGGUGAGUAACACGUGAGUAACCUGCCCUUGACUCUGGGAUAAGCCUGGGAAACUGGGUCUAAUACCGGAUACGACCAUCUGGCGCAUGUCAUGGUGGUGGAAAGCUUUUGUGGUUUUGGAUGGACUCGCGGCCUAUCAGCUUGUUGGUGGGGUAAUGGCCUACCAAGGCGACGACGGGUAGCCGGCCUGAGAGGGUGACCGGCCACACUGGGACUGAGACACGGCCCAGACUCCUACGGGAGGCAGCAGUGGGGAAUAUUGCACAAUGGGCGCAAGCCUGAUGCAGCGACGCCGCGUGAGGGAUGACGGCCUUCGGGUUGUAAACCUCUUUCAGUAGGGAAGAAGCGAAAGUGACGGUACCUGCAGAAGAAGCGCCGGCUAACUACGUG
rnacentral:rRNA from 1 species